AUACGAAGGGGGCUAGCGUUGUUCGGAUUUACUGGGCGUAAAGCGCACGUAGGCGGAUUGAUUAGUUAGGGGUGAAAUCCCGAGGCUCAACCUCGGAACUGCCUUUAAUACUGUCAAUCUCGAGACCGGAAGAGGUGAGUGGAACUCCUAGUGUAGAGGUGGCAUUCGUAGAUAUUAGGAAGAACACCAGUGGCGAAGGCGGCUCACUGCUCCGGUACUGACGCUGAGGUGCGAAAGCGUGGGGAGCGAACAGGAUUAGAAACCCUAGUAGUCC
rnacentral:rRNA from 1 species